rnacentral:lncRNA from 1 species
GGUGCUUAAAGACUGUGCCCUCUGGCAUCCAUCUUGAGGGAACUGCAGCUCUGAGGACUGUUUAUCCAACUGCAACAAGUCUCACCAUCUCCAUUAAAAUCACACAACUGCAAUUAAAAAAAAAAAAAAAAAAGAGGCUUAUAAUUUUUUAUACUCACAAAGGUCUUGGCCAGGGUCUUUAGGGUCUCUAUGAGACAGGUGCAUACCUGCCCCACAGCUGAGAUCUCCUCACUCCAUAUGUGGAGGUAAUGAGCAGUGCUGGGCCCCUUGAGCAGCAGGUCUGAAGGGCUGGCCAGGUGUACACAGGUCUGCCACACAUCACAGAUUAAACCAAUAUCCCCAGCUCUUCAAUUCACACAGGCUCUUCGUGCAAGGGGUUGGCCUGUUUUACAUUUUUCCUAUCUCAAAUUCUGUUGCUCCAAGCAUUUCUUCCAAUGUCUUCAGACCUGACACAAGGAAAAUUGUUUUCUGCAUGAUGAUGAAGUGAUGCCCCUGAGGGAAACAUGGGGAUAUUGCUCCUCCCUCUGUCAAAGAGAUUCUGGGCAUAAGGUAUAUCCUUUUCACCAAAAAUAAAAACUGCCACAAAUUGAAUCACCAGAAAUGUAAUUUAUACCAGGGAGGAUAGCCUGCAGCUGUUCAGGGUUCCUGUGUGAAUCUUUUCCUUGUUUGUUCUUGUUCCUCAUUGUAGUGAUGAGACACAAAUAUGUGAGCCUGGCUAUCAUCAUUGAACAGGCAUAGGAAGAAGUGGCACCUGUGCCAGGUUUAGAAGAAAAAAGAUUAUUCAAGGAAAAUGUCUGUGAAUCUACUAAUCAUGCACAACUCGCACAUUUUAAGGCAAGAUGGAGAAAUAACUGCUGUUAAGGAGUCAAGCUUUCAAAUAAAACAAACUCCAGACCUUAAGGAUCUCUGCAUUAUCAUGGACCUUGGAAACAUCCAGAGCAGCACUAUUUUAAUGGUGUCUAUGAAUCUAUGGGGCUUAUUUAAUGGGAAAAAAAAUAUAUUGCCAUGCAAGCUCUCCAGGUGCAGUCUGAAAGGGGUAAAGGAUGGAGUCCUUCUGGCUCUUAGCAGAUCAUUGGUUGUGGUUAUUGUGAAACCCAAGUCAACCCUGGGGAUCACAGCUGCUUGUCUUAACAUAUCUAAUGAAGGCAGAUGGAAAAAUUUACAUGGAAGUCUUAAUCAAAACAGAGAAAAAACCAUUAAAUUUCCAGAAUUAAUGUGCUGAUCACACUGAUACAGAGCUACUCUACAGUCUGGGAAUGAGUUAUUCCAGAACAGACUUUAUAGCUGCUGGAGUUGAUCCAGAACCCUCUGCAGUGAAUGGUGGCUUCUGAAUUACAUGGGAUCUCCUUCACUGACUUAAAUGGUCUUUGGAUCAGGUCCAUAAUGAAUUACUGCUCGAUAUAGCCCACAAUCACAAUAAAAAAUGUUCACUGAAAAUCCCCA